rnacentral:rRNA from 1 species
GUACACGCUGUGACUAGUAUAUCAAUAAGCGGAGGAAAAGUCGACUACCUACGCUUAGGAUGUUGACGAGACUGUCGAUCUCAUCUAUACAUGACUCUGUGCAUAUCAAUAAGCGGAGGAAAAGAAACUAACAAGGAUUCCCCUAGUAACGGCGGGUGAAGGCGGGAAGAGCUCAGAUUUGAAAUCUUAAAGGGUUUCCCUUUACGAAUUGUAGUUUAAAGAAGUGUUUUCUGUUGAGGUUUUGGUAAAAAGUUCUUUGGAAUAGGACAUCAUAGAGGGUGAGAAUCCCGUAUUUGACCUUUACUUUCAACUUUGUGAUACACUUUCAAAGAGUCGGAUUGUUUGGGAAUGCAGUCCAAAAUGGGUGGUAAAUUUCAUCUAAAGCUAAAUAUUGGCGAGAGACCGAUAGCGAACAAGUACCGUGAGGGAAAGAUGAAAAGAACUUUGAAAAGAGAGUUAAACAGUACGUGAAAUUGUCAAAAGGGAAGCGUUUGACACCAGUGUUGUUUUUCUGAAAAUCAAUUAAAGAACUGUUUAUGCUAAGUUGUUUAGACUUUAUCAGCUAUCUGCUUAGUUUUGAGCUUUUCUUUAAUGCACUUUUCAGUUAACAAGUCGACAUCAAUUUCUUUUGCUGUGAAGAAAGCUUGAGGAAGGUGGCUUGAGAUUCGUCUUAAGUGUUUAUAGCCUCUUGCCUAUGCAGUCGGAGAGAUUGAGGUCUGCAGCGUAGAUCCUUCGGGGCUAAAUGCAUUUGUGCUAAGUUAUAGCAUUUUAUAGACAACUUGUUGACUAUGAUUUGUCUUGUAGCUUACUCGCUUAUGUUAUUUUACCUACGCUUAGGAUGUUGACGAGACUGUCGAUCUC